rnacentral:lncRNA from 1 species
GUGAAAACCAAAGCCUAGAUUAAGAUUUUAUUGCAAAUCAUAGACAAGAUAAAGAUCUUGGAUGCCAAAAAUGCGUGUGAAAUGCCACUCUAGAGUAAGGCACUUCAGGCUUUUUGGCCCCCCUAAAUUCCUUCUUGCCAUCUUUUCUAUGCCAUCAGAUCUCUCUUGUGGUGAAUGCCAAAGCUCUAUCAAAGGCUAGAUGAAGAUUUUAGUGCACAUCAUAGUUAAGAUAAAGAUUUUGGAUGCCAAAAAUGUGUGGUGAGAUACCACUCUAAAGAAGACACUUUAGGCUUUUUGGCCC